GAGAGGCUGAGUUCCCAACAGUGUGUGGGAGGUAGACCUUCUGAUCUCAAGGUCUUUUCUAGUUCUGCCAUUCUGAGAUGUGCCCUAGGCACCCAGGAAAGGGAGGGGGGUGGAUAGGAAGGAUCCUCCGCUGAGCAGCAAGAGGACAUGGAAUGAGUCUACCUAAUGACCUUAAUACCACAAACUUCCCCCUCCUGGGGAAGAGGCCUCCCUUCUCUCUGGUAAUGGGAUGUGAUCGCAGGGCAGACACCUCCAUCACACUGGGUCCACUGCAGCUGUGGGGGCAAUCAGCUGUGAGACUGAUCUGUGAAGAGAGCCGUAAUCUGCGCCUGGCUAAUGAGGACGACCCGACCCGCCUGUGUUCUGUGAGCACAGUGAAAGGGUGAAAGCUUUGAAAAUUCACUGCCGGAAAAGUGGAGUCUUGCUUGAGAAAGCACUCAGCAGCUGAGGGAAAUCCUCCAUGAAGAAGUGGUAUGGAAGGAAGAGCCCUGUGCUUUAAAUGGAAGGAAGCGAGAUUCAUAUGUCAAGACUGCCAUUAUAGCCCCAGGAUCAAAGAGCACCCAUUUCCCUGUGUAUCAGCAGAAACACCACCACCCACCUCAAAGGAUCAAAGGGCUGCACAGAUUAAAUAAGACUCUGCAUGUGAAAGUGCUUUGUCAACGGUAAAGGACACUGCAGGGCAAUAAUCACUAAGUUGUGCUGUUGUGACUGGUAACAGUAGUGUAUUCUCACUGCUUAGCUGGCUUGAACCACUCACUGACAGGGCAGCGUCCGGCAGUGCAAAGGUGUGGACUCCAGAGCCACAUCACACUUCUCAGUGUGGCAGAGUUAUUUACCUUCCCAGUUUCUUCAUCUGUAAAAUGGGAUAAUGGUAAUAUGCGUACCUCAUAUGACUCUUGAGAUGAUUAACAUAGGUUAACUUACUCAUCGUUGUUUACAAUGGUGUCUGGCACAUAAUAAACUCUAUAUAAAGGGGGA